AAUCUUCCACAAUGGACGAAAGUCUGAUGGAGCAACGCCGCGUGAGUGAAGAAGGNUCNNGGAUCNUNAAGCUCUGUUGUAAGNNNNNAACAAGUACAGGAGUAACUGUCUGUACCUUGACGGUACCUAAGGAGGAAGCCCCGGCUAACUACGUGCCAGCAGCCGCGGUAAUACGUAGGGGGCAAGCGUUGUCCGGAAUUAUUGGGCGUAAAGGGUGCGUAGGCGGCCUUUUAAGUCAGAUGUGAAAGCCCACGGCUUAACCGUGGGACUGCAUUUGAAACUGGAGGGCUUGAGUAUCGGAGAGGGUAGUGGAAUUCCCAGUGUAGCGGUGGAAUGCGUAGAUAUUGGGAGGAACACCAGUGGCGAAGGCGACUACCUGGACGAAAACUGACGCUGAGGCACGAAAGCUAGGGGAGCAAACA
rnacentral:rRNA from 1 species